ensembl:ncRNA F43C9.5 ncRNA
UACCUAAGAUGUAGAAGUUCAGUGACCAAUAUGAUGUGAGGGCGCACAAAAAACCAACAAAAAAUCAAGCCACCUAGGGGACUCGAACCCCUGACCUUAAGAUUAAAAGUCUCACGCUCUACCAACUGAGCUAAGGAGGCCCACACCGAUGGUAUCUGUGAUGGAUUACACACUUCAGCAGUAAACACCUGCACGGAGACACAGAGAAACAAACAGAC